rnacentral:rRNA from 1 species
AUUGAACGCUGGCGGCAUGCUUUACACAUGCAAGUCGAACGGCAGCGCGGGCUUCGGCCUGGCGGCGAGUGGCGAACGGGUGAGUAAUACAUCGGAACGUGCCCAGUAGUGGGGGAUAGCUCGGCGAAAGCCGGAUUAAUACCGCAUACGACCUGAGGGUGAAAGCGGGGGAUCUUCGGACCUCGCGCUAUUGGAGCGGCCGAUGGCAGAUUAUCUAGUUGGUGGGGUAAAGGCCUACCAAGGCGACGAUCUGUAGCUGGUCUGAGAGGACGACCAGCCACACUGGGACUGAGACACGGCCCAGACUCCUACGGGAGGCAGCAGUGGGGAAUUUUGGACAAUGGGCGAAAGCCUGAUCCAGCAAUGCCGCGUGUGUGAUGAAGGCCUUCGGGUUGUAAAGCACUUUUGGCGGGAACGAAAAGGACUGUGCAAAUACCACGGUUCGAUGACGGUACCCGCAGAAUAAGCACCGGCUAACUACGUG